UACGUAGGUGGCAAGCGUUGCCCGGAUUUACUGGGUGUAAAGGGCGCGUAGGCGGGGUAGCAAGUCAGGUGUGGAAUCUAUGGGCUUAACCCAUAAACUGCACUUGAAACUGUUAUUCUUGAGUGUCGGAGAGGUAGAUGGAAUUCCUAGUGUAGCGGUGAAAUGCGUAGAUAUUAGGAGGAACACCAGUGGCGAAGGCGAUCUACUGGACGACUACUGACGUUGAGGCUCGAAAGCGUGGGGAGCAAAC
rnacentral:rRNA from 1 species